GGAUGGAUCAUUAACGAGGAGGGGUUGGAAUCGGAGGGAUAGCAUGGGCUGUGGGCUGUGCGCGACAGUCGGAGGGGGUAAACUGCCCCUCUGGCCGUCUCAUGGUCGGCACCGGUGUGGGUUGUGCGACAGUCGGAGGGGGUAAACUGCCCCUCUGGCCGUUUCAUGGCCGGCACACAUGCUAUAUACCCUCCUCCGCCUCCCUACUUAUUCAUUCUUGUGGUACUACUGUUUUGUCCUUUGGUGGCCGUUCCCGCAUGGGGACACUAAAGCCACCAGCAUUAACCCAGUGAUAACCCACUAUUCUAAAGAAAACAUAACAAAAAUUUAUACAACUGCUAGCAACGGAUCACUCGGCUCUCGCGUCGAUGAAGAACGUAGCGAACUGCGAAAAUUAAUGCGACCCGCAACACGUGAGUCAUCGAGUCUUUGAACGCAAAUUGCACCCGACGGGUUUACUUGUCGGGUCUGCCUGUCUGAGUAUCACUACGUUCCCAAUUGCUCAUCAGUAAUUGGCUGCUUGUCUACGGACAGAUAUGGGUGUUUGAUUCCUACGGGGUCAAUCGUCUGAAAUCCAUGUGUGUCUGGAGGACCCAUGUGUCUGGCAUUGCUAAUCAUCCACGGAUGUUCAUUGCUAUCUGCACACCCCCAGCUCACCUUUGUGCUAAACUCAACCCUUAACCUUUGAUCUCAGAUCAGGCAGGAUGACCCGCUGAACUUAAGCAUAUCAGUAAGCGGAGGAAAAGAAACUAACCAGGAUUCCCUCAGUAACGGCGAGUGAAGCGGGAAUAGCCCAAUUUGAAAAGCUGGUCAGCCCUGGCGCUGGUCCCGCAUUGUAAAUUGAUGAAGCGUUGCCUAGUGUCGUCGCCGGCCAAAGUCCCUUGGAAGAGGGCGUCAGAGAGGGUGAUAACCCCGUGCGUGGUCGGCCGAUUGACACAUCUAUGGCGCGUUUUCUUAGAGUCGGAAUGUUUGGGAUUGCAUUCCAAAGUGGGUGGUAAACUCCAUCUAAGGCUAAAUACUGGCGAGAGACCGAUAGCGAACAAGUACCGUGAGGGAAAGUUGAAAAGCACUCUGGAGAGAGAGUCAAACAGUACGUGAAAUUGCUAGCAGGGAAACGUUGGGCACCAGUACGCGGCAAUCAAUGUCGGUGAUCAGUGUGUGUGGGGGUGGAAGUGGGUGCUUCUGGAUCGUGUAUGCGACCAUGGCGCUCGCUAGCCGCUCUUGCGCGCAUGCACUCGCCGACAGCCGGGUCAACAUUGGUUAGUGUCGUUCUAAGCGUCCCUAGGCAAGGUAGUGCUAGUGGUCUUUGGCUGCUGGCAAACUUAUAGGCCUGGGGUACCAGAUCGGCGCUGACCAAGGCGCAGCGACUCGCGCGUUUCGGCGCAGGGCGUGUGACGACCAUCGGGCUGCCCGUGGUGCUAGACAGCAUGCUGACUAGUGCCAUUCUACCCCCUCGGGGGCAGUGGCAGCCAUGGUCGCCGCACAAGCCACUAGCGAGUCUAUGACGGUUGACGAAAUGGUAUUCAACGACCCGUCUUGAAACACGGACCAAGGAGUCUAACAUGUCUGCAAGUGUUUGGGUGGCAAACCCUUGCGCGGAAUGAAAGUGAAGAGGCCCUUGUGGCCCGCUGGUAGGAGUCGCCUCUGCGCGACGCACUACCGACCGACCCAUCGCCCUCUGUGGCAAUAGGUUCGAGUUGGAGCAGACCUGUUAGGACCCGAAAGAUGGUGAACUAUGCCUGAGCAGGAUGAAGCCAGAGGAAACUCUGGUGGAGGUCCGUAGCGGUUCUGACGUGCAAAUCGAUCGUCGGACUUGGGUAUAGGGGCGAAAGACUAAUCGAACCAUCUAGUAGCUGGUUCCUGC
rnacentral:misc_RNA from 1 species